rnacentral:rRNA from 1 species
GACGAACGCUGGCGGCGUGCUUAACACAUGCAAGUCGAACGGGCCCGCUCUCUUUUUUGGGGGUGGGUUGAGUGGCGAACGGGUGAGUAUCACGUGAGUAACCUGCCCCCUGCUCCUGGAUAACUGCUUGAAAGGGCGGCUAAUACGGGGUGUGCCGGCUGGUCCGCAUGGGCCUGGUCGGGAUAGUUUCAUCUUCGGGUGUUUCGGUGGGGGAUGGGCUCGCGGCCGAUCAGCUUGUUGGUGGGGUGGUGGCCCACCAAGGCGGUGACGGGUAGCGGGCCUGAGAGGGUGGCCGGCCACACGGGGACUGAGACACGGCCCAGACUCCUGCGGGAGGCAGCAGUGGGGGGUAUUGCACAAUGGGCGGAAGCCUGAUGCAGCGACGUCGCGUGAGGGAUGGAGGCCUUCGGGUUGUGAACCUCUUUCUCCGGUGGUGAAGGCCCUGUCCGUUGCGGCGGGGUUGACGGUAGCCGGGUAUGAAGCGCCGGCUAACUACGUG